ensembl:lncRNA
UGUGUCGGCACGAGUUCCAACCUGGUCAACACCCUGUUUCCAAUAUUGAAAAAAGCUGUAGAGAAGAACAAACCCCUUUUGGCGAUGAGGUACCUGAUGAAAGCCAAAGAGUGGAUCACUGACAUCAUAACACAAGUGGAUAACAUAGUGGAGAGGUAUGAUAAACACAACCAAAGUGUGAAAACAUGCACCAGUGAUGUGUAUCAAGAACAAGCAGAGACCAAAGAAGAAAAAGAUAAAAAAUCUGAUGAGAUGAAGGGUCUGGAGGUUGCUGUCGCCAAGCUCCAACUGGAUCUGAAAAAAGUAGUCGACAAAGUGGAGAUGAAUGAGAAACAAAUUAAAAACAACACUGAGGAGCUGAAUAGCUUCAUCAGUAGAUUUCAGGAAGAACAUGGCCACUGGACUGUGAAGUUCCUUGACGCUUUUAGAGGCUAUCCAGACGCUAUGAAGGAGCCUACUGCCAUUGAUCUGGAUAGAAAACUGAAACAACUCGACACUGAGAAGAGCCGUCUGAAAAAUGAAGAGUGGAACAUCAAAAUCAAGCAGACUGAUCUUCAGCUGCAGCUGGCCAACUGUAAAAUACGAAUGGGUAAGCGUCUCUCUAUGAUUUUAUUGUUACAAACAUACAGUAAAGUCAUCUGCAUGCAUGUUAUGCUCUUGACACGUUCUUCACAAUGAUCUCUCAUAAAUCAUUCCAGGUGAGAUUCCCGACCCUGACAACCUGAAGGAAGUCCAGCUGUGUCUUUCUCAAAUCCAACAAAUUCUGGUUGAUCUGAAAAAGUUUUGGGAGAAGGUGGAUGCUAUUCUGAGCACACUGAAAGAUAGAACCUUUGCUGGGGAUGAAAUGGUUGACAUGGAGGACAUGAAGGAUGAGUUUCUGAGCUCCAUUGAAGAUGCAGCAGAGGUAAGUUAGACAUUGAGCAAAUGUUCCUGAUGUAAUUUGAUUAUGCCUUACAUGAAUUCUCUGAGUUCUGACUAUAAUUUCCCAUGUUGUUUUUUGUUUAUCCAUAAUAUUCUCUGAUUAAUAGUGUACAGAUGAUGCUAUAUUUUCCAGAAUCAAAAGCAAGGAGUUUUGUAAUCUCAAGCAAGAUGCUAGUGUCUAAUCAUUGAAAGUUAUUACCAUCUUAACUAGAGUCAGAUGAGGAUGCCGUGUGACGGGAGAAAAAAGAUCAAACCAAAUAAAAAAAAAAAAUACACAGUUGUGCA